rnacentral:rRNA from 1 species
GACAGAGGGUGCAAACGUUGCUCGGAAUUACUGGGCGUAAAGCGCGUGUAGGCGGGUUUCCAAGUCAGAUGUGAAAUCCCCGGGCUCAACCCGGGAACUGCAUUUGAAACUGGGAGUCUUGAGUAUCGGAGAGGAAAGCGGAAUUCCUGGUGUAGAGGUGAAAUUCGUAGAUAUCAGGAGGGACACCGGUGGCGAAGGCGGCUUUCUGGACGAUAACUGACGCUGAGACGCGAAAGCGUGGGGAGCAAACAGG